AUUGAACGCUGGCGGCAUGCCUUACACAUGCAAGUCGAACGGUAACAGGUCUUCGGAUGCUGACGAGUGGCGAACGGGUGAGUAAUACAUCGGAACGUGCCCGAUCGUGGGGGAUAACGAAGCGAAAGCUUUGCUAAUACCGCAUAAGAUCUACGGAUGAAAGCAGGGGACCGCAAGGCCUUGCGCGAACGGAGCGGCCGAUGGCAGAUUAGGUAGUUGGUGGGAUAAAAGCUUACCAAGCCGACGAUCUGUAGCUGGUCUGAGAGGACAACCAGCCACACUGGGACUGAGACACGGCCCAGACUCCUACGGGAGGCAGCAGUGGGGAAUUUUGGACAAUGGGCGAAAGCCUGAUCCAGCCAUGCCGCGUGCAGGAUGAAGGCCUUCGGGUUGUAAACUGCUUUUGUACGGAACGAAAAGACUCUGGUUAAUACCUGGGGUCCAUGACGGUACCGUAAGAAUAAGCACCGGCUAACUACGUG
rnacentral:rRNA from 1 species